GGCAGUUUAGCUUAAUGGUAAAGUACUUGAUGCCUAAUCACAGGGAUGUGAGUUCGAGUCUCAUGGCUGGCC
rnacentral:tRNA from 1 species